CGGGGGGGGGGCAAGCGUUGUUCGGAAUUACUGGGGCGUAAAGGGCGCGCAGGCGGCCUGGCAAGUCCUACGUGAAAUCCCACAGCUCAACUGUGGAACUGCGUGGGAUACUGCCAGGCUUGAGUCCGGGAGAGGAGAGUGGAAUUCCCAGUGUAGCGGUGAAAUGCGUAGAUAUUGGGAGGAACACCGGUGGCGAAGGCGGCUCUCUGGACCGGUACUGACGCUGAGGCGCGAAAGCUAGGGGAGCAAACGGGAUUAGAUACCCCGGUAGUCCUAGCCGUAAACUUUGAGCACUUUGUGUGGCGGGUAUCGACCCCUGCCGUGCAGAAGCUAACGCAUUAAGUGCUCCGCCUGGGGAGUACGGUCGCAAAGGCUG
rnacentral:rRNA from 1 species